GACGAAGGUGGCUAGCGUUAUUCGGAUUCACUGGGCAUAAAGCGCGCGUAGGCGGCUCUUCAAGUCGGAGGUGAAAGCCCGCAGCUUAACUGCGGAACUGCCCUCGAUACUGUCGAGCUUGAGUGCAGGAGGGGUGAUCGGAACUCCAGGUGUAGCGGUGAAAUGCGUAGAUAUCUGGAGGAACACCGGAGGCGAAGGCGGAUCACUGGACUGCCACUGACGCUGAGGCGCGAAAGCUAGGGGAGCAAACAGGAUUAGAUACCCUGGUAGUCCUAGCUGUAAACGAUGAGUACUAGGCAACGGGAAUCCGAUGUUUUCGUUGUCGAAGCGAAUGUGCUAAGUACUCCGCCUGGGGAGUACGGCCGCAAGGCUGAA
rnacentral:rRNA from 1 species